rnacentral:tRNA from 1 species
GCCUCGGUAGCUCAGCUGGUAGUAGCGGCGGAUUGAAAAUCCGUGCGUCGCAGGUUCGAUUCCUGCCCUUGGCA